GUCACACCCCAAUUCUUGAAGGAAUAAAUAUAAUCGAGGUGUGAAUAAUUUAUAGAAAUAAACAAGGGAAAAACCUUGUUAAAACCGAAUAAUAAAAUAUCCAGUCGAGCUAUGCCCCUUUGGAUCACAAGUUUUGUUUCAUGCUUCUGACAACCAACAUUCAUUAGCAUAAAUUUAGUAGUGAAGAGUCUAAGCUCGGUCAGGUAUAUCAUUUGAAAUUUGACAUGGAGAUCUUAAUUUGAGGAAACAAAAGACGUAUAUGAGUAGUUGCUACAGCGGAAGUCUAACAUAGGAAUUUAACUCUAGCCUCAGCUCCGUCCCGUCAGCACCGGCCAGCCAACCUGAAAACAUUUGAAAGUAUUUUUGGGCUAAGUACUAAUGUACUUAGUGGGCAUGCAUUUUCUGAAACAUCUCAUAUUUUAAUAAAGACAGUUUAUCCAAUCAUACUUGACAUGACUUAGAAGGUUUUAAAUUGAAAGAACUUCUAAGCAUGUUAAAAUAAUUUCUUUCAUUUGUGCGCACAUGUCACACUCCCUUUCUGUUACUCGCUGUGAUCCCGGACCUUUUAGCCACCGACGGAUCCAUUCUCCUUUUUACUUGCCCUGAGGGCGUAACUCAGUCAAGUUCCCAUUUGGGGCCCAAUGCUCCGGAACACAUCCCGUCGAGCACCCUUAUAACUCAUUCUGAAGGAUUAAUAGCCCCACGGGAUCGUUUCUUGGAUAUCUUAAUUUACCAUACAACGAUUAAUCCUAACAUGCUCCUAAGAGAACCUCGAUCGAUCCAUGAAUUGCGAGCCUUAAACAGAGCAGAGUGCACAAAAACAUUUAUUGGAUAAACAGUUUUCAUUUCAUGAAAUAUUUAGAGCUUAAUAACUCAAUCAUACAUUUGGAAAGUAAGCCCACCUGGAUAGGCAAAGCCUGAAGAUCAUAAUCACAUAAACUCAUCUUGGGAAAGCAGUGCUAAU
rnacentral:lncRNA from 1 species